rnacentral:rRNA from 1 species
UACAGCCAUANGGCCCUGAACACACCCAACCUCGUCUGAUCCCAGAAGCUAAGCAGGGUUGGCCCUGGUUAGUACUUGGAUGGGAGACCACNUGGGAAUCCAGUUAUAAUAU